ensembl:snRNA U6 U6 spliceosomal RNA
GUGCUCGCUUUGGCAGCACAUAUAUUAAAAAUUGGAAUGAUACAGAGAAGAUUAGCAUGGCCCCUGGGCAAGGAUGACACGCAAAUUCAUGAAGCAUUCCAUAUUUUU